UACGUAGGUGGCAAGCGUUGUCCGGAAUUACUGGGCGUAAAGCGUGCGCAGGCGGUUUUGUAAGCCAGAUGUGAAAUCCCCGGGCUUAACCUGGGAAUGGCAUUUGGGACUGCAAGGCUGGAGUGCGGCAGAGGAGACUGGAAUUCCUGGUGUAGCAGUGAAAUGCGUAGAUAUCAGGAGGAACACCGAUGGCGAAGGCAGGUCUCUGGGCUGACACUGACGCUCAUGCACGAAAGCGUGGGGAGCAAACAGG
rnacentral:rRNA from 1 species